rnacentral:rRNA from 1 species
CCUACGGGCGGCAGCAGUGGGGAAUAUUGCACAAUGGGCGCAAGCCUGAUGCAGCCAUGCCGCGUGUGUGAAGAAGGCCUUCGGGUUGUAAAGCACUUUCAGCGGGGAGGAAGGCGGUGAGGUUAAUAACCUCAUCGAUUGACGUUACCCGCAGAAGAAGCACCGGCUAACUCCGUGCCAGCAGCCGCGGUAAUACGGAGGGUGCAAGCGUUAAUCGGAAUUACUGGGCGUAAAGCGCACGCAGGUGGUCUGUCAAGUCGGAUGUGGAAUCCCCGGGCUCAACCUGGGAACUGCAUUCGAAACUGGCAGGCUAGAGUCUUGUAGAGGGGGGUAGAAUUCCAGGUGUAGCGGUGAAAUGCGUAGAGAUCUGGAGGAAUACCGGUGGCGAAGGCGGCCCCCUGGACAAAGACUGACGCUCAGGUGCGAAAGCGUGGGGAGCAAACAGGAUUAGAUACCCCAGUAGUC